rnacentral:rRNA from 1 species
AGUCGAACGAUGAACCACCUUCGGGUGGGGAUUAGUGGCGAACGGGUGAGUAACACGUGGGCAAUCUGCCCUGCACUCUGGACAAGCCCUGGAAACGGGGUCUAAUACCGGAUACUGACCUGCCAAGGCAUCUUGGCGGGUCGAAAGCUCCGGCGGUGCAGGAUGAGCCCGCGGCCUAUCAGCUUGUUGGUGAGGUAAUGGCUCACCAAGGCGACGACGGGUAGCCGGCCUGAGAGGGCGACCGGCCACACUGGGACUGAGACACGGCCCAGACUCCUACGGGAGGCAGCAGUGGGGAAUAUUGCACAAUGGGCGAAAGCCUGAUGCAGCGACGCCGCGUGAGGGAUGACGGCCUUCGGGUUGUAAACCUCUUUCAGCAGGGAAGAAGCGAAAGUGACGGUACCUGCAGAAGAAGCGCCGGCUAACUACGUGCCAGCAGCCGCGGUAAUACGUAGGGCGCAAGCGUUGUCCGGAAUUAUUGGGCGUAAAGAGCUCGUAGGCGGCUUGUCGCGUCGGUUGUGAAAGCCCGGGGCUUAACCCCGGGUCUGCAGUCGAUACGGGCAGGCUAGAGUUCGGUAGGGGAGAUCGGAAUUCCUGGUGUAGCGGUGAAAUGCGCAGAUAUCAGGAGGAACACCGGUGGCGAAGGCGGAUCUCUGGGCCGAUACUACGCUAGAGCAAG